UAGCCGUAAACGAUACUCGCUAGGUGUCGGCCACGGUGCGACCGUUGUCGGUGCCGUAGGGAAGCCGUGAAGCGAGCCACCUGGGAAGUACGGCCGCAAGGCUGAAACUUAAAGGAAUUGGCGGGGGAGCACCACAACGGGUGGAGCUUGCGGUUUAAUUGGAUUCAACGCCGGAAAUCUUACCGGGACCGACAGCAACAUGAAGGCCAAGCUGAAGACCUUGCCGGAUUAGCUGAGAGGAGGUGCAUGGCGUAGUCGUGU
rnacentral:rRNA from 1 species